rnacentral:misc_RNA from 1 species
UUUCCGGAGGUGAACCUGCGGAAGGAUCAUUAUCGUACAAAAUGUGAGGGGCAUGCGAGGGCUGUCGCUGACCCAAAAGUCGUGCACGCCCGAGUGUGUCCUCUUGCAUAAUAAUCCAUCUCACCCUUUGUGCAUAACCGCGUGGGCACCCUUCGGGAUCAUCUCGGAGGGGGGCUCACGUUUUCACACAAACCCCCCUUUUAAAAGUGUAGAAUGACCACAUUUAUGCAAUCAAUACAACUUUCAACAACGGAUCUCUUGGCUCUC